CGGCGGACGGGUGAGUAACACGUGGAUAACCUACCUAUAAGACUGGGAUAACUUCGGGAAACCGGAGCUAAUACCGGAUAAUAUAUUGAACCGCAUGGUUCAAUGGUGAAAGACGGUUUUGCUGUCACUUAUAGAUGGAUCCGCGCCGCAUUAGCUAGUUGGUAAGGUAACGGCUUACCAAGGCAACGAUGCGUAGCCGACCUGAGAGGGUGAUCGGCCACACUGGAACUGAGACACGGUCCAGACUCCUCGGGAGGCAGCAGCC
rnacentral:rRNA from 1 species